AAUUUUUUGCGAGUCGAGCAAACAGAGAUAUCCUUAAUUAAUCACCCACCUGCAUAUCCUCCACAUGAAGGGAAAUCUUUCCCAUUGUCUUAAGCAAAUAAGAAAUGACCAAGUAGCGCUGGCCUUCAUCUUCUUGAUCGCUAAGGUCAGACACAAGAGACAGAUAGAUGUUUUUCCCUUUCCUUGAAUCAAGCUGUUGAAAAGCCUUAAGCAGAAGACCCUGCUCGUCAUGUUCAAUGGUGGACCAGAACUCAUCUUUACAUUCAUUUUUUCCUAAGAAUGAAUGCAGAGAGCAAAUUGAAAAGACAAGAUUUUGAGUAAUGAGAUCACUGGCAGCAUCAUCAGUCUGCAGCACCUUCAGCUGACAACAAAGAGAAGUAGCUACGAAGAAAAGUCUACUUGGCCUCAUCAAAAAGUAAGUUUCUUGUGGCAGUUCAAGGUUUUCUUUCCAAGCCUCAGUCACAGUGGCAAAGUAGCAAGCCACAAGACGGUUUGAUAUGUUGCGCAACCACAGAUGCGGAUGCAAAAGCAACUCACAGAUUGCUUCCCACAGAUCCUAUGAGAUGUCAAUAAAAAUAAUAGUCAGAAAACAAAUAUGAAUUUAUCCAAAGAACAGGACAAGUUAUUGGCAAUCUGGAAAUGGGAGUGUGGUAGCUGUGGAGCGUACUUUCCCCAGUACAACAAUAACAUACCUAGUGAAAUCCCACUAAGUGGGGUCAGGGGAGGGUAGAAUGUACGCAGUCCUUACCACUACCUCGUGGAGGUAUAGAGGCUGUCUCCGAAAAACCCUCGGCUCAAGUGCAUCAAACCAAAGUAAAAGUAUCCUCUUCAAACUUUAAGCCCAGUAUACUAUUCAAACUCUAAGCACUUGAUUUUCAAAUACUUCUUAACUUUACACCUAGUCUGUAGUUGCAACUAUCUUUUGGCAUGCUGCCUAAGUUUGAGGACUAAAGCAAUUUCACCUAAGUGGUUGUAGCCACACCAAAAAGUAAUUCAUUUCUUAAAUCUAUCACAAAGCAAAAUGAGGUCCAGCGGUUUUCACAUAAGUCCCCUCGUACAUAUGCUAAGUAGGACAUAUUAUGGAUGACUUGGUUUUAGCCCUAUAUUUUAAGACCAUAGCUAAAAUAAUGAAAUACANNNNNNNNNNNNNNNNNNNNNNNNNNNNNNNNNNNNNNNNNNNNNNNNNNNNNNNNNNNNNNNNNNNNNNNNNNNNNNNNNNNNNNNNNNNNNNNNNNNNUAUCAUAAUCAAGAUCUCCCAACUCUACAGUAGACGUGGCAUUCAAUUCACGAAGAAGAUUUGCCUGUAUGAAAUUAAGAAGUGUUACACGUCAACAAACACCUAAAGCAACAAGUUCAAAAGAAAACUAGAUGGUCUAGUAAUACCGUAGGAUGUACAGAAGAAUCAUUCCCUGCGACAGCAUCAAGAACAUCACAAAUAGAAGUACGGACAUCCAAGCCAGCAGAAAUUACGAGUGGAGAAACAGAUUUGACGGUCUUUUUACUGCUUUCACUACCCAAUGGUUCUACAAUAUCCUUAAUAAUCUGUAAAGUGCCUACACAAAUCUCUGCAACCAGAAAGAAAGGUAAUCUUAGAAAAAGAGCAAGGACAUGAGACCAAACAGGUCCACCAAAACUGUAAGACAAAACUCAGAGACUCUGACCAGGGUCUUUGGAUCUCUUUGACAGAAGCGGAAGCAAGAUGUCAAGAAACUUCCUUGCAGCCAAUGGUCCCUUUAUGUGCUUCGAUAAAAGCUUGAAGACAUUGAGCUCUUUUUCCCCAGGAUAUUUGACAAUCUUCCUGGAAAAGUGAAUACAUCAGUUAAGAGGAGAACUGAUGCUAGUGCAUCUCAUAUAACACUUAAUUACAUAAAGAGCAUGCUAAGUCCACUUAGCCAUAUAGGGUGGAUGACACAUACACAAGAAAAUAAGUAAGAAACCUACUUAUUCUCCGGAGAAGCAUUUUCCAAAAAGACAUUUUAGAGGCAUUGUUAUCAUUUGGUAGAUCCAGGUCCAUGACCUAUUUCGAUGGAACACAUUUUCCAUGGUACAUAACACAUUCUCAGAAUUUCGCUCAUUGAUAUCCAUUGAUACGGACCUCACUUGUGGGAUUUCACGGGAUGUGUUGUUGCUUGAGUUGAUAUGCCCUGCUGAAAGUCUUUGUGGGUAGGAGGGAGUAUAAGAAUGAUCCACAACUCCCGGCAAAGUUGUAACAUUACCAUGUUGAUCUAAAUGUAAUAGAUGUACUCCUAUCUUCUUUACUAUGGCUCCGCCACUGCUAUCCUCUACUCUUAUCUGUUCCCCGCCUUUGAUGUUCAGGCCUUUAAAAGGUCUAUCAUUUGCGUAAGGUAAGUAAUAUACACAUGAUACUUCUCCGUGACCAUCAGGUAUAUCAAAAGGCAAAAUCCAUGAAAAACUCUUUUUAUGGGAAACAGUAACAACAAGGUGUUCAAGCUCAUGUACAUCGCAAAGGCGGCAAACAAACCAGAGAACCAUUCCUAAGAACUUGUUAUUAUGUACUGUGGGCAUAGUCAAACAGAUAGAUGGAGCUGUUACUUUAUUGCUGCACCAAUCUGGAAUCUCAUUGCUUUCGAGAUUAAUUUGUAACAACGACUUCAUCAGACAAAUUAAGACACAAUUAGAUCAUUAAUUAUUAAUGUGAUACGAGAGAGAGAUCAGAGAGGGAGAAGGACUAACCUCAUACCAUUGAUAUUUUCUACACGAAAUUGAUAGAGCAGGGGCACUAAAGAAGCCUUCACUGAAUGGAUUCUGCAGACAAGUACAAUUAUUCAUGUCCAUCUUCUUUAUUGAAGGGAGGUUGUCCAACCCUGUAAUCUUGACCAGUUUUUGGCAAUUCCUAAGUUCAACAACUCUAAGGUACUCUAAAUUUGAUAUUGAUGGGAGUGUUUGAAGGUUCUCACAAUCAUUCAAAUACAAGGACUUCAACCAUGGUAACUUGGAAAAAUCAAAGGGUAGAUAGAGGAAACUGUUGCCGCUCAAAUCUAAAUGAUAUAAGUUGGAUAAACUCCCAAUAUCCCUAGGAACAUCAGCCUCCGAGAAACCACAAUAUGGAAGGCAUAGAAUCGAAAUAAAUUUUGACAAGGAUACUAUGGGGCGUACUCUUGUUUGAGAAAACCUCCUUUUGGUCUCUAAGUAUUGACCUCCCAUUUCCAAUUCUAUAAGAUUUCCUAGCAUUUCAACAGAUCCAGGCAAUUCUUUUAUACCUGUUUCACCUGCAUUAAGAAAUCUUAGGCUUUGCAUAUCUCCAAUGUCAACUGGCAGUGUUUGUAAAGAUGAGCAGUCAUUAAUGCUCAAGUAUUCAAGGGAUUUUAGCUGGCAUAUGCUGCUCGGAAGAUCCGUAAUCUUUUCGCAACCAUUCAAUUGAAGAUCAGUUAGUCUGUCCAAAUUUCCUAUUGAUGGAUGGAUCUCCUUAAGACUUGAGCAAUUGUCAAGCCACAAAGUCUCGAGACUUCUUGAACCACAGAAGUUUGGAGUUCUUCUGAGGUGCUUGCAAUCAGAGAGAUCCAGCAUUUUCAAAUUUCUACAAUACUAAAAGUAAACAAAAUAUUGUUUUAAUUAAGAUUUUCUUUAUCUUAAACAUAACACAUAAAAUUGCAGAAUUGAGUAACGAACCUGCAAAUUCAAACCAAAUUCUUGGAUAUUGCUCCCUUUCAUAUUCAGAACUACAAGCUUCUCAGAUGGAAAAUUUGACGGUAUACAUUUUAAAGGACAUUCUUUCCAAGACAACCAUCUGAGCUCCUUGGACAAUAGCUCAAAAUCUCCACUAAUAUGUAAGUCGUCGAUUUUAAGCACCCUAAGAUUUAUCAUUUUCUGAAAUGCUUUGGUGUUCAGCUUCACACCCUUUAAUGCCUGUCGUUCUACCACCAAUAUUUCUACAUUUUCAGAACCCUACAGUUUGGUAAAAAGAAAAGUACUAUAAGACCAUGUUAUGUAUGAUAAAUUAAGAAAGAGAAAUGCUUUAUACAAAUUGAAGGUCAAACAAAGAAAAUAAAUUAUGUACCAAUAAAAAUAAACUUACACAUUAUAUCCAACUAAAGGAUAUUUAUUUGAUAAUUUUGUCUUUGAUAGCUUGUUUAGACUUCAGUAAAUGUUCAUUUCAAGUACAGAAUGGUUCAAACAUCUAAAGAUACUUACUAACCGGAGAAGAUUUAAGCACAAAUGCAUAAAUUAUAAGCAAGUGUAUAUCAAUAUGAAAAAAGAAGAAGAAGAAGUAUAACCGAGAUAAAGAUAAUGAAAUUUACUGACUUUAUUUCCUUGUAGGACAUCAAGGACUUCUUGAGGGUUGACCAAUCUACUCCGUUUUCCAAAGUCUCGAGGUGAUUCCAUGCGAACGAUUUCUCUUCCCAUAUCCCGCACUAGAUCAUGCAUCACCAAACGACGCCGAUCCCUUUGGAGCAGGUGUCUUUUGACUAGAGUUGCAAUUGCAGUUUCACAAUAAAAACCACAGGGGUUUAAUGUUUUGGUAACUUCAUCCUCAUCACAUCCAUGGAAAGCGCACGCAAUAUCAAGGAAAACACUCUGAGUAUUGUCAUCAAGUCCAUCAAAGCUUAUUUGGAGAAUCUUUUGAAUAUCAAAAUGAGGAAUUGUUCUUAGUUUUUUGAACUCGUAUCUCCAUUCUUCAACGGAUCUCCCUUGCAGAUGUGACCCCAAUGUCACAAGAGCUAAUGGUAGCCCACCUGAAUAUUUUAUUAUGUCUUGUGCCAGCUCAACAUAUUCUUGUGGUGGAGAAAAACAGUUAAAAGCAUGACAAGAAAAGAGUUGCGGGGCUUCAUUGUCAUUUAAAAGUUUGGCCCGGUAUAUCUCACUUGUUGUAAGCCCAUAUAGCAAAUGUUCAUCUCGAGUUGUAAUAAUUAUUACACUACCAGAGCCAAACCAACUUCUUUCUCUUGUUAAGGAUUCUAAUUGGCUUCUAUGAUCCACGUCAUCAAGAAUAAUUAGAACCUUCUUUGACCCAAGUCUUGCUUUGAUUAGACUAACACCUUCAGCAACACUAUCAACUUCAAAUUCCUUAGUUUUGAGGAUUUGAUGAAGUAGUUUCUCUUGUAGCUUGACUAGAACAUAUUCUUCAACUUUUGAUCUUAUGUCUGAAAGGAAGCAACUACCGUCAAACUGUUGAAAUAUUCGAUUGUAGAUAGCUUUUGCCAAAGUUGUUUUCCCAAUUCCACCAACGCCACAUAUACCAACCAUGCGAACUUCAUGCUCACAUCCACUUUGCAGUAACACCUCUAUAUGUUUGAUAGGAGAAUCUAAUCCAAUUGGGUAAUGAGCAACAUCUAGAGGUGUUGGGUUAACCUCUUGCAGAACUUGUUUUAUAAUACUUUCAAUAAACUUUGAUUCAUGCCUACAGUUUUUGCAACAAUAAAUACUCAAGUAUUUUAAAUUAUUUGAUGAACAAAAUGAAAAUCAAUAGCCAAAAGAUAACAGAGUUUAUAGAAUGGAGAUUAUCCCUUGUCCCAAUCUACGGUUUGAUUUGACACGAAAUUUAAGAAAUAUAAAAAGACUUUACAAUGUUCCAAAAUUAACCAAGUUUUAAGCUUAGGCAAAUGCUUAAAUUCAAAAUUUAAUAGUUGAAUUAAGAAGUCUUACCCAUCAGCAACAUUUCUUAAAUCCCAUCCAGAUAAAUUUGCUGCUUCAGUAAGUGCAGCUUUCCACUUUUCCAUUCUUUCAGCUCCAACCAAUCGUUCCUUGUGUUUUGCCAAAGCUUCGUCAAAGGACGAAGUUUGCCUUCGCACUUGAGAAGGAUCAACAUCAUAGAAAAUAGGCAAAACUACCUGCUUUAACCUCUGUUUGCAAUCGAGAAUUUUGACAAGUUCAUCAAGACACCAACUAGACGAAGCAUAAUUUUUGGAGAAAACAACAAUGGCAACCCUAGAUUGUUCAAUUGCUUUCUUAAGUUCAAUUGAAAUUUCGUCUCCUUUUCUCAAUUCCUCAUCAUCUAUGAAAGUAUUAACUCCGACUUGAUACAAUCUGAAAUAAAGAUGACCUGUGAAGUUUUUGCGAGUAUCUUCACCUCUGAAACUGAGAAACACAUCAUAACAUAAGUUGGAAGAAGAAGAUGAUUCUCCUUGAGUAUUCAUAUUUGAUGACAAUAAAUUAAAGAGAUUUUUAGUCAAUUUUUUUGUUUAAUUAAUUAAAUAGAGAUGUGAAGCAGCUCUUUAUAUGCCCACAAGUAAUUGUUUGUUCCUGGAAAUUUAAUUUUGGGUCAACUCAUUUACAGGCCCCAAAGAAGGUUAACAGAAAUGUAAGGGAAGUUUCCAAGAUAUUUCAUAGACAUGUUGCGUUCAAUUUUAUAUGUUAUAAUAUUAAAAAUAGAUAUACAAUUUACUUCCACUUCUUCCGUAGAUUUUUACUUGUUCACAUUAUAAACUAUAGUGAUCAUUUUUAUUUGUACAAUUUAAAAAUAAUCAAAAAUAAGAACUUUUAAUUUAUUUAUUUUAAAAUGUGUCAUACUUCCAAUAAUUCACUUAUGAACCAGUGAGAGUAGAUAAUGAGUGACUUGCUUUCACAUUUAUUGUCAGCACAACUCUAUCAGUCUUCUUUUUUUUUCAUCACUUUCACACUAUCGACAAGUGGAUUGACAUUACCAUGUUGGUCUAAAUAUAGCAGAUGGAUCCCUAUCUUUUUUAUUGCAUCUUUGCGAAAGAACAAAUAGUCAGACUCGUGAACUGUUACCUUUGAUCAUCUGGUCAACAAAAGGACUAGUUAAGCAAGAUAUGUAAUAUACACAUGAUACUUCUCUGUAUUGUCCGAUCGAGUAUAUCAAUAUCACAAAUUCUUGACAUAGAUACUCUCUCUCUAUCGGAUACAGCAAUACUGAAGCGUCCAAAAGUGGAUGAAAGUCUCUUAAAGUCGCAAAAAAAAACAGAGAAUCAUUCCUAAGAACUUGUACCCCUUAUCAUGUACUGUGGGCAUAGUGAAACAGAUAGAUGGAGAUGUUACUUUAUUGCUGCACCAAUCUGGAAUAUCAUUGCAUUCGACACAAAUUCGUAAAACUUGCUUCUUCAGAGUGUGAAAUGACAGAGCCUGGGCACCUUGAUUGAACGAUCUCCUUCAUCCUUGAGCAACCUUGAAGCUUCAAAGUCUCGAGACUUGUUGCACCGUUGAAGUUUGGAGUUUUUUUGAGGGCCGAGCACCAAGAGAUAUUCAGCUCCUUCAACCUUGGGCAACACUAAAUGUCAACCAAGUACAUUAAUAUUCAAGUUAUACAAGACUAUUUUGUAUAAUUUCACUAGUCAAUGAAAAAUGUAGAAUUGGGCAACAAAUUAAACCUGCAAAUUCAAGCCAAAUUUUUCGAUAGCACUCCCUUCCAUAUUAAGAACUACAAGAUUCGCAGCUGGAAAAUUUGGUGGAAUAUAUUUUAAAUGACAUCUUUGCCAAGAUAACCAUUUGAGCUCCUUGGGAAAAUGCCACAAAUCUCCAUGAAUACGUAAUCCAUUGAUUAUAAGCACCCUGAGUUUCUUCAUUUUCUUAAAUGCAUCGGUGCUAAACUCCACUCCCUCUAAUUCCCCUGGUUCAUCUAACCUCAUUACUUGUACAUUUCCGAAACUCUGUAGUUCAGAGAAAAUGUUUUAAUUAGGACUAAGAAUUGUAACACGACAUACAAUUAAAUUAAAAAGGAACAAGGAUUUACUCACGUUUUUUCCUCGUAAAACAGCACAGACUUGUUGAGGUAUGAAUAAUCUACUCCGUUCUACAAGGCAUUGAGAUUCUGAGCGAACAAUUUCUCUUCCCAUAUCUCGCACUAGAUCAUGCAUACUUACACAACCCCCAAGUACCCCUUGGAGCAACUGUUUUUGGACUAAAGUUGCAAUUUCACAUUUAGUGUGAAAACCACAUGCAUUUAGUAUUUCAGUUUUCUUGAGAGUCUUUUGGAUAUCAUCAUGAGGAAUUUCUUUUAGUCUCUUGAAUUUGCGUCUCCAGUUUUCUAUGGAUUCCCCUCGAAAAUGUGAACCCAAUGUCACAAGUGCUAAUGGUAGCCCACCUGAAUAUUUGAUUAUGUCUUUCGUCACCCCAACAUAGUCUUUAGGUGGAGAAAGACUGUCAAAAGCAUGACGAUAAAAAAGUUGCUGAGAUUCAUUGUCAUUUAAUUGGUUGAUCAUACAUCUUUUUGCAUUAAGCCAACUUAGCUAAAGCUCGUCUCGGAUUGUAAUAACUAUUAUACUACCCAAACCAAACCAUUUCUUUUCUUUUGUUAACGAUUCUAAUUGUUUUUUUGUGUCCACUUCAUCAAGAACAAUUAGAACCUUCUUUGACCCCAGUUUUCUUUUGAUUAGAUUGAUUCCUUCAGCAACACUGCGAACUUUGUACUCGUUGGUUUUGAACAGUAUAUUGAGAAGUUUCUCUUGUACACUUUCUAGACCAAUCUUUUUUUCUAGCAAUCUAACAUCAGAAAGGAAGCAACUACCAUCGAAGAUAAAUAAUCGAUUGUAGAUAUUUUUGGCCAGAGUUGUUUUCCCGAUUCCACCAACUCCAUAUAUACCAACCAAGUGAACUUCAUCUACGUGUCCAUUUUGCAAUAACGACUUUAUAGGUUUAGUACGAGAAUCAACUCCAAUUGGGUAAGAAGCAACAUGUAGAGGUGUAUGGUUGACCUCUUUCUUCAUAUCUUGUAUAAUCAUUUCAAUAAAUUCAGCUUCAUGCCUACCAAUAUUUUUACCAAAAAACACUCACAUGAUGGGAGGUGUUACGCUUUAAAAUAGUUGCCUAUCUAUGGAUGGCAAUGGGGCGGUGCGGGACGGGGCGCGUUGAGCUUAAUCUAUAAAAAAUUUAAUUCGCUCUGCAUAACAAUUUUUUUCAUUUUCAACCUGCCCCGCAUGAAACUCCCCACAUAGUUUUUUUAAUAUUUUUCUUUUCUAGUUAAGUUUGACACUAAAAAUAAAAUUCAUAAAAAUAAAUUCAUUUUUUCAUUAAGUUGUAUUAAUUUAAUAGAAAAUGACCUAAAUUUUAUUUUUUAGAAGUCAAUUGGUAAACAUGUAAGAAAUUGUAUUAAUUUUUAUUGAAUCAUUUUCAUUUACCAUCUUGAAUAUUUUAGUAGCUUUAGAGAAAUUAUCUUAAUAAAUAAUGUUCUAUCACUCUUAUAGCAUGUAAAAAGUUAAAAUUAAAUUGAAUCCACAUAAUGCCACAUAUUCCGGCAACCCCGUCCCACAUAGCCUUAAAUCCACUCCAUCCCGCAUCCGCCCCGUUUCAUUGUUAUCUAUGGCUAUCAAACGACCCAAAAUUGUUAACAGAAAUAAAAAGGAAGUUUCCUAAGAGGUACUUUCUCUUUUGGGUAAUAACCAUAGUUAAUAGUAUAAUUAAAAACAUUACAUUUCAUCCUUGUAGGAAAUUACUUAUGGGGUUCUUGAUAGGCAAUCUUACUGUGGAGGAAAGUUGAUAGAAAUUGAAUGGAAACAUUCAAAUUCUUUUUCUUUUUAAUUGAAUGGUUUUCACAUUCUAAAUUUUCUCUACCCACCAAAGGUCAAUUCUAAUAGUGGUUGCAUCUUGAAUUGGACCCUUUUUAUUUUUAAACAAAUUUCUUAGUACACAAAACAAAUAUAUUGCUUACUUUAAAAGCAAGGUAUCAUAAAUUCACGUCGAAACAUUGUACUUGCCCUUUAAAAUUUUACAACUUAUGAUUUUCAUCUUUUUUUAAAAAAAAUAAUGCAAGAAAUAUGUCAUGAUGUUCCACUAUGCCUUUAUAAAUCUCCAUUUAUCUUUGUUUUGUUUGUUUAAUCGAAAUUUAAUCUUCUUACUGUUACGAUUACCAGAUUUUACACACUACUUGCCUAUUCUUUCUUCUUCUAACCUUUUCUUUUCCUUUUUGAAUAUUUUCUUUUAAUAUUAGUAUUUCUUUUGAAUGGUCUAACCAGUAGUUGAACUUAGAAGCUUUCUUUGGUUAUGAAACCAAAUUAAUAUUAUUUACCUUAUUUAGAGGUAUUGCCACUAUAAGUAAUACAACGAUUAACUAUUUUAUGCAAAACUUUCGUAAAUGUGCUUUUACAUAAAUUUCCAUUCAGUGUGACACACACGAAGUAAAACCACAUGUUUCUUCUUUUUGCAUUCCAAAAAAAAGGAAGAAUAUUCUUCUCCAUUACUAAAAAUCAAUAAAUUACACAGUUCAAUCACUUACAAUGUUCCCUGGCAUUGCAUGUUAAUCAAAGAGACACUAUAUUCACUAUACAAUGAAAAAGUUGAUUCAAUUUUUUAAACUAAGCUUAGUGCAACUCAACAUACUACCACUAUACAAUGGAAAAUUUGGUUACAUAAAUUAAACAAAAUUUUCUAUAGAAGCUACUGCCUAUAUCGAACAACAAAAUUUUCUAUAGAAGCUACUGCCAUCGAAGAUCGAUGCUCAAUUGUUCAUACCUAAUAAUGGCUUUGUAGCCCUAUAAUAGUACACAUUCUACUACAUCCAUCUUCCCAUCUUCAUUGACAUCAUUUUCCUCUUCUUGUGUGCUUUAUGCUUUUCUGCAAUCCUCAGCUUCCUCUUGGCAUUUCUCAUUGGAUUAACCACAGCAAUGACCUUCUCUUCUUGUUUCCUCUUAUCCCUCUUCGAUUUGAUAUUCUUCCUUAUAUGACUGUAAAUUUGGACAAAAAUAUGUGUUCCUAUAACAUUGCUUAUGCUCCCUCGCACUCCUUCAGCCAGUUGUUUCACGUCGUCUGUGGAGAUGAUGCAAACGUAAUCAUCAAAUAUAUUAAGGACUACAAAGUUUAAUCACUCGGAAGCCAAAGAGGAAGUGAAGAACAUUUGUAAAUGCAGCUAGCACUUUGCAUAUAUGAUAGUAUGGACAGACACUUGAAACAAUAAGUUUGCAAGAGAUUGAAUGAGAGACCAUACCUGAUAUAACUUUUCCGGCAAAUCCUUCACAAACUUUGUACAGGGGCAACAGCAUAUGAUAUGCAAAGCUUUGGCAAUCAACCUCACCUUCAGGGGACAACAAUCUACUCUGAUCUAUAAGCUUUGGUGAAACUGAUUUGAAACAAUUGAAGAUAAUUCUCAUCUGCAAAAAAUUGUGCACAUUCCACAGCAUGAGAACAGGCACUCCUAGCACUAUAUAUGGGAGACUAAGGCCCAAAAUAUUUUUUUUGGAAAAACAACGAGAAGGUAAAUUACAUAGCAAUGACUAGGCUAAGAAAUUUUUUGCGAGUCGAGCAAACAGAGAUAUCCUUAAUUAAUCACCCACCUGCAUAUCCUCCACAUGAAGGGAAAUCUUUCCCAUUGUCUUAAGCAAAUAAGAAAUGACCAAGUAGCGCUGGCCUUCAUCUUCUUGAUCGCUAAGGUCAGACACAAGAGACAGAUAGAUGUUUUUCCCUUUCCUUGAAUCAAGCUGUUGAAAAGCCUUAAGCAGAAGACCCUGCUCGUCAUGUUCAAUGGUGGACCAGAACUCAUCUUUACAUUCAUUUUUUCCUAAGAAUGAAUGCAGAGAGCAAAUUGAAAAGACAAGAUUUUGAGUAAUGAGAUCACUGGCAGCAUCAUCAGUCUGCAGCACCUUCAGCUGACAACAAAGAGAAGUAGCUACGAAGAAAAGUCUACUUGGCCUCAUCAAAAAGUAAGUUUCUUGUGGCAGUUCAAGGUUUUCUUUCCAAGCCUCAGUCACAGUGGCAAAGUAGCAAGCCACAAGACGGUUUGAUAUGUUGCGCAACCACAGAUGCGGAUGCAAAAGCAACUCACAGAUUGCUUCCCACAGAUCCUAUGAGAUGUCAAUAAAAAUAAUAGUCAGAAAACAAAUAUGAAUUUAUCCAAAGAACAGGACAAGUUAUUGGCAAUCUGGAAAUGGGAGUGUGGUAGCUGUGGAGCGUACUUUCCCCAGUACAACAAUAACAUACCUAGUGAAAUCCCACUAAGUGGGGUCAGGGAAGGGUAGAGUGUACGCAAUCCUUACCACUACCUCGUGGAGGUAGAGAGGUUGUUUCCCUAGUCUCAAGUGCAUCAAACCAAAGUAAAAGUAUCCUCUUCAAACUUUAAGCCCAGUAUACUAUUCAAACUCUAAGCACUUGAAUUUCAAAUACUUCUUAACUUUACACCUAGUCUGUAGUUGCAAACUAUCUUUUGGCAUGCUGCCUAAGUUUGAGGACCAAAGCAAUUUCACCGAAGUGGUUUUAGCCACACCAAAAAGUAAUUCAUUUCAUAAAUCUAUCACAAAGCAAAAUGAGGUCCAGUGGUUUUCACACAAGUCCCCUCGUACAUAUGCUAAGUUGGACAUAUUAUGGAUGACUUGGUUUUAGCUCUCCUAUAUUUUAAGACCAUAGCUAAAACAAUGAAAUACAGCAGCACUAGCACUAAUGAAAUAAAGGAUAGAGAGAGAAAAUAUAGUAAUUUUUUUCUUUCUACAGAGACUAAUAUCCAUUCUAUAGAGGAUAGAUAUAGAAGAUAUUUUAUCUUUUUAAAUUCUACAAAAACAAACAUCCAAUAUGUGCUAUAGAGUAUCAAAACAAUGUCUCAAAGGCAAUUCAACCAGUUAUGAAUAUCCAUUAGCUCCAUUUUAUCCCAAUAGAAUAAGUCUGGAUGGCAGGCAAAUCUUAUAAAUGUUCAUAUGUUGUUGUUGUUGUCUUAUUUACAGAAGUAAUCAGUUAGUACCUAGUAGUAGUCACUUUAAUUUCUAACAUAGGAUUAAAAGAAAGGAAUAAAUACCUCAAGAUCCUUUCUGAAGCACAACUUAGGAAAUUGAUUUAAUAUCUUCUCAAACAGAACCAGUGAAUAAUAUGCUUCUUUCCAAGAUGAAAUCGUUGCAUCAUUCGGUAGAUCCACUUGCUUAUUUGUAAGAACAUUAACAGCAGAUUGCAAGAUGUUUCUCAUAACAGGUAGGAGGCUAUCAAUAUACUUUUGGAAACCAUCUUUAAGUCCUUCAAUGAGUAACCCCAAAACCUGUAAAAGAAAUAAUGAAGUCUUGAAACAUGUUUUUCUAUUUUUUGAUGAGGAAGGAGUUAUAUCUCAGAUUCAUGACAAAAUAAUGACGUCAGUUUUUGUCCAUUCUUCCGGCUAUUUAAUUCAUAGUUCAUAUACAUAAACGAAUAUGAAAAAAGUGAAUGACAUAUGGAACUUGUAAUCCUUCUUCGGUAUUUCCAAACUUGCUCCACGAUGGCAUAAUGUAGUUGAAUAAAAGAACAGUUUGGGGUUUUCACUCGUUUACCUGUGCUGCAGCACUCCAUAAAUGUGGUUUAUCUCCCAGAUACCAGGACCGACUAAACUCAAGAAUUGACUGGAGUGAACGGGGGCUGACUCGUCCAACAAGUAACUUUAUGACUGUACCAGUCAUUGAACGGACUCUGUUGUCACGAUCAUUCGCCAGACAAACCACCAAAUGCAGAAAAAACGUCUGAGAUUGUUCAUCUAUGAUGCUAACUGGGAAUUUCAUUAUAACAGCAUGAAGCAUUUCAAGGAUAGCUUCUCUUCCAGUUGAAUGCUCAUAUCUGAAAAAUUCAAAAACAUCAUUACAGAGAUGUCACCAUCUAUAAAUUUUACCAAAUGAAAUUAUUGAUUGUGCCCUUAUGUCCUUGCCUUAAGUUUGAAAGUAAGAAAUCAAGAUGUUGUUGAAGACGUUUCUCAGAUAUAUGGUAGUCCAGUAAAAACUGCAGCAAAAUUUGGCUGCUUUUCUUACGAAUUGAUUCAACUUGACUAGUCACCAUCAACACUGCAAGAUUUCUGCAACUACCAACUUCCUACUCACUAUUGCUUUCAACAGUGAGAGAGCCACAAAAGAGGGAUUUCUUUCAAGAUCAACAAAAAGAGGAAACUGGAUUAGCAUAUGCAGUUGAUCAGUAGAAAGUGUGAUCUUAGUGCUACGCAAAAGCACAGUUAGCAACUUAACGCAAGACUCCAAUAAUGGAUUACUGGAAGUUACUGAACCUUGAGCAAUAUUCAGUAAUGAAUUCUUUAUCUUCUCUGCCUGAGAUUCAAGAGAUGGCAAAGGGAGCCUCACCAGAGGAGAUAAGCACCUAAGUGAGGCAGACAUGACAUUCUCAUAUUUUGAGUUUAAGCAUUCACCCAAUAAUCUUACAAAUGGAUCUAGCAUUGACAACAACUGCUCAUCUUUCUUGUCAAAUUUCAUGUUCUUCAUGUAAUUCUGAAGCACUCCAAGAGCAAAUUCAGUAAUAAGAUGGGAAUAUCGUGGAUCAACGCUGACCAACUUAUCUGAUUUAGCAAUCUGGCUGCUUACUCCAUCUUUCUUUUGCUUACCUUCCAUUAAAGUCGAUGUCUCUGCAUGCCCUGGAGAUUCAUCUUUUAUGCCAUCUUUGAUCAGACCAUAUUCAUAGAUAAAGAGUUCUGUCUGGUUAACGGAAGGAUUACACUGUAUUCCAGCAGCUAUAUGAGAGAACAUAUUCUCAAAUUUUGAUUUUACUUUUGGAGUCAGCUGCUUCUGUAGAUGCUUAAGAAUUGGCGCAAGCAGCUUCAGAGCAUGUGUUUUGAAUGUGAUGCUUUGGGCAAUCAAUUUAAGGGUAUCAUAUGACUUCUGCUUCCUAGUCUCUUCCAUCUUUGAAGCAAUCUUCUCAACCUCUUUCUCCUCUGAAAUAUCACUAAGUAUAUCAUUUAUUGCAAUCGAGAGAAGAUCCUCUAAACAAAAAUCCAGCUUCCCACUACUGGGAUUUAGAAGAAAUUUUGAUAGUAGAAAAUUGAGAGUGAAUCCCAAAACAUGCAAUUCAAAUCCUCUCUUCAGAGUGCCUCUCAAGACUUUGACAACAAAUUGCAAGUACUCCAGCCCUAGUUCUUUUAAACAAGCAGCCAAAGCAGCUCUGGCUUCAUCACGAACACUUUCCAAACGAUUCUUAAGGAAAUUCGCUAUGCGAUGCAUCAUAGAUGGAAGGUGCGAUUCCAUGAUGUCUCCCGAAAUUCCGCAAUAACACCUUUUGUUUAUCUGGUUUCAGUGUCAUCUCCCGAAAGCAUCUAUUGAGUAAUGCAUAAUACAAUCUCCAGUCCAUGAAUUUAGAAAUUGAUCCAACAGCUUCCAAACAUGCACUUCUAAUAUUUUCACCCUUUCCAACUUGUCCAUCAACCAACAUUUUAAAGAGAAGAGGGAUAAACACUUUAUUUAUGAGAACCUGCACCAGAAUUAUUCCCAACUAUUAGUACAGCUUAGCAACACAGAGCACAAAUUGAUGCUUAAAGAAAAAGGCAAGUAACCACCUUAGACAGAUUCCCGGAAUAUGUAACUCAUCGAUUUUAAGCACCCUCAAAUUUUUCAUUUUCUUAAAUGUCUUGGUGCUCAGGUUCGCGCCUUUUAAUUCCCCUGGAUCUACCACCAGUACUUCUACUUUUUCGGAACCCUGUAGUUUCAGCACAUAUUAAUUGAACAAAAGCAAUUAUAAGCAAAUAUUUAUCAAAUUAUUGAAAAAAAUUAAAAUCACGAAAGAUAAAGAAUCUACUGACUAUAUUUCCUUGUGGAACAUCUCGGACUUCUUGAGGUUUGAACAAUCUACUCUGUUUUCCAGAGUCUCAAGGUGAUUCCAUACGAACAAUUUCUCUUCCCAUAUCUCGCACUAGAUCAUGCAUCAUCAAAUAACGCCAAUCCCUUUAGAGCAAGUUCCUUUGGACUAAGGUUGAAAUUGCACUUUCAGAAUAAAAACCACACGCAUUUAAUGUUUUGAUAACUUCAUCCUCAAAAAAUCCAUGGAAGGCACACACGAUAUCAAGGAAAACACUUUGAGUAUCACAAUCAAGUCCGUCAAAGUUUAUCUUGAGGAUCUUUUGAAUAUCACAAUGAGGAAUUGCGUAUCUCCAUUCUUCUACGGAUCUCCCUUGUAAAUGUGACCCCAAUGUCACAAGAGCUAACGGUAGCCCACCUGAAUAUUUGAUUAUGCUUUGUGCAAGCUCAACAUAUUCUUGUGGCGGAGAAGGACUACUAAAAGCAUGACAAGAAAAAAGUUGUUGAGCUUCAUCUUGAUUUAAAAGUUUUGCCUUGUAUCUUUCAUUUUCUCUAAUCCGAGAUAACAAAUGCUUGUCUCGGGUUGUAACAAUUAUUAAACUACCAGAGCUAAACAAACUUCUGUCUCUUGUUAAGGAUUCUAAUUGGCUCAUAUGAUCCACUCCAUCAAGAAUAAUUAGAACCUUCUUUGACCCAGGUCUUGCUUUGAUUAGAUUGACGCCUUAGCAACACUACUAACUUUGACGUCCUUAGUUUUGAGAACUUGAUUUAGUAGUUUUUCUUGUAACGUGACUUGACCAAAUGCUUCAGCUUCUAAUCUAACAUCUGAAAGGAAGCAACUACUAUCAAAUUGUCGAAAUAUUUGAUUGUAGAUAGCUUUAGCCAGAGUUGUUUUCCCUAUUCCACCUACGCCCAUAUAUACCAACCAUACGAACUUCAUCUGCACUUCCUUUUGGAGUAACAACUCUAUAUCUUCGACACGAGAAUCUACUCCAACAGGGUGCCAAGAAACAUCUAGAGGUGUCUGGUUUACCUCUUGUAGAACUUGUUUUACAAUACUUUCAAUAAAUUUUGAUUCAUGUCUGUAUAUUACCAAAAACAACAGUUAGAAUUAAAAAAAAAAACAACUUUGAUAUGUGGAAAAAAAAUAAUUGAUAACCAACUUAUGACUUUUGACUGAUAAGUCAGUGUGACCAGCUUAUAAAUAUUACCCGUCAACAACAUUUGCAAAUCCCAUCCAGAUAAAUUUGCAGUUUCAGUAAGUGAAUCCGUCCAUUUUUUCAUUCUCUCAACCUCGAAUGAUCGUUCCUUAAGCAUAGCCAAAGCUUCACCAAAGCAUCCGGUUUGCUUGCGUACAUGAAAAGGAUGAACAUCAUAGAAAAUAGUCAAAACUAUUUGCUUUAACUUCUCUUUGCAUUCAAGAAUUUUAACAAGUUCAUCAAGACACCAACUAAACGAAGCAUAAUUUUUCGAGAAAACAACAAUGGAAACUCUAGAUUCUUCAAUUGCUUUCUCAAGUUCUGUUGAAAUCACCUUACCUUUUCUUAAUUCCUCGUCAUCUAUGAAGGUAUUAAUUCUGACUUGACAUAAUCUAGAAUAAAGAUGACCUGUGAAGGUUUUUCGAGUAUCUUCACCUCUGAAACUCAGAAACACAUCAUAAGAGAAGUUGGAAGAAGUAGUUGAUGAUUCUCCUACAACAAAUUGAGUAUUCAUAUUUGAUGUGAAUAAAUGGAAGAAUGAGUAGCUAUAUAUAUAAUAUACCAUGCACAUUCUAUGGUUUUUUCUUGGUAACUUAACUAAUGCUAUAUAUUCUUUAAUUUAUUUUGUACAAUUAUUCUUCAUUAAAUUUUGUUAAUUGGGAUUUUUUUUAAAUUGAUUCUUUACCUUUUGUCUCAUCUUUAAUUUGUUAAAGACUUGAAUGAUAAAAAUUUAAAGUAAGAUUCUUUCUUCCUUAACAACUCAAAAGUUCAUCUCUCCACAUAAUUAUGAUGAUGUUAAGCUUGAUGUCAUAAUCUUUUAAUAAUGGAAUUGAAAACAUCGAUUUGUUCUCAAUUCACAAGUUGGAUUAAACGUUUUUUUUCUUUCUUUUUACCUAAGUAUCACAUAAAUUAUAACGAUAAUUUUUUAAAAGAAAAACAAUUUGUAUUAAUAGUAAAAACUAGGAAACUUUGUCGUAAUAAAGCUAACUACUAGUCUAUUGCAACUAUUAAACAACUAGAGCUAUCAAUAUGGGCUGACCCAUCCCAUCCGGGUUAAUCUAUACAGGUUUUGAAAUAUGACGGGUUAGGCCGGGCUAGCCCAUUUUUGGUGUGGGCCAGAAAAUGGUCGGUCCAACCCACAAGUACGUGGGCUAGGGGCUUGUCGGGCCAGCCCUCUUUUCGUAAAAGUAUAUUUUUUAUAAUUUUUUAAAUUAAAUUAUAAUUUAAAAAUAUUAUCAUAAAUAUCGACAAGAUAGUAUUACACGGUGUUAGUGUUGACACCUAAUUUUGACCCUCCACAAUAAGAAUUAAUUUGUGAGCUUUCUUAAUUCCAAACGAUUUGAAAUAACUAAUUUUAUAAAAAUUCAAAAUAUGUUUCAAAGAUAUUUUAGGAAUUUUAUUCACUUUUAUAAUAUUUUAAAUAAUAAAUAUGUUUUAUAUUGUUACGUAUGUAACUAAUAUAUUUUAUAAACACUUGAAAAAUAUCUUGAAAAAGAUUUUUUUUUUUUUAUUAUUAUUAUCAUUUAUUUUUAACGUUAAACACUUUACUAAUUUAAUUUAGUUUGAAUUAUAGGUAUGUUUUUGAAUUAAUUAGUUUGAUUGAGUUAAUUAUUUUUUAGUUUGUUAAAUUUAAGAAGCUUGUUAAUUGAUCUUGUUUAAAUUCAUCUCAUUUAGCUUUUGCCGAAUUUGCUAAUUAAAUCCGAUUUAGCUAACUUCCUAAUUCCCAUUAGGUCAUAAUUGCUUCCAUGUGGCUUAAGCCAAUUUAAAUCUCACUUGGACCAAAUCUAAGAUCAGACUUGGGCAUGUCCUCAAUUUCCAAUUCCCAAGCUCAUUUCCCCUUUGGUUUCCAAUUAAGCCGAGCCCAACCCAUCCUUCUCCAAAUUUCCCGACCCAAUCCAACACAACUGACCCGACCCGGCCCAUUCCAACUCUAAAAGAAACUCAAAUGUCCUUCUCUUUUCCAAGGUCCCAGAAGCAGUUCCAAACGUUCACAGACCGACAAAGCAACAGCAGUCCACGGCAUCCUCACGAUGAGAGACGAUUCCAAAGGAAUCAACACGGAAUAUUCGAAUCACAAUAACCAACGACGUCAAUUCCGAUACACGGCGUGAAAGCAUGGAGAUACACGCAAGCAGUGAGGAACGAGACGGACAGAGGGCAGUACUAUUCCUUGUCUUCUUCCUCCAAUGUCUCUCUCAACCAGUACUAUGGCAGUAGCACGCGGUUUUCACCUUUCCUCUUUCGGAAUGGGGCGAAAACCUCAGAAGAAGGGUGUGUGUCCGAAUUUGUGAAAGGUUUUUGGAAUUCAAAUUUAUGGGACUUGAAUCCGAAAUUGCAUUUGUCCUUUCCCCCCACAAUCUACCCUAAUUUUCCCAUAUAUAAUCAUCUCUUCUAUUAAGUCUUAAGAAGUCAUUAAGUCGGUUAGUUAGCUCAUUAAUUUAAUAGUCAGUUAGUUAGUUAUUAAAAUCUGUUGUAACUAACUACACUGCUUGUAACUAACUACACUGCAGAAAGCCAGCUAAGGCAUCGUGUAUAAAUAGACAUUCAAUUGUCAUUGUUGACACAAGAAAUAAAAUUCCUUUCUAUCCUUUGUUCAAAGUGCUCUCAAUUCAAUUGUUCAUCAUCUGUGAUUGAUGAAAGUUAACAUGGUAUCAGAGCAGUGAUCAUAAGGGAUUGAUCUGCGUAGAAGAGAAGAACCCAGAGGUGCUGAGAAGCUGUAGAAGAAGCUCCUGAAACAAGCAUCAAUGGGGACUAAUGAAGUUACAGAUCUAAGUACAACAAUAGGAACAAAUGAGAUUACAACUCUAAAUCACAAUCACCCGCUUUAUCUCCAAGCUUCAGAUGCACCUGGAGUAGUUCUGGUUCCAAUCAAAUUAACAGGGCCAGAAAAUUACGCUUUAUGGAGCCGAUCGAUGAAAUUGGCUCUUAGAGGAAAAGGGAAACUUGGAUUCAUUGAUGGAUCUUGUGCGAAGACAACUUAUAAAGGAGGAUUAGAGGAACAAUGGGAGAAGUGCAAUGCAAUAGUACUGUCAUGGAUUGCGAGCACAGUUACGAGUGAAUUACUGCCAGGGAUUAUAUACGCUUCAAAUGCUAAGAGAGUUUGGGAAGAUUUUCAGGAGAGAUUUGAUAGAUCAGAUCUCACUAGAAUUUACCAUUUGUGGUCAGAAAUUGCAGCUCUCAAACAAGGUACUGAUUCUGUGACCUCUUACUACUCGAAAUUGAGAGAUUUAUGGGCUGAAUUAGAAGUAAUGGUUCCAUCACCUGGUUGUACAUGUGCGGAUUCAACUUCUUAUAUGGAGCAUUUAAGAUCUCAGAAACUGUUGCAAUUCUUAAUGGGAUUGAAUGAGAGUUUUGGACAUAUCCGGAGUAGCAUUCUAGCUAGGAAGCCUGUAGUGACAGUAAAUGAAGCAUAUGCAGUUGCAGCACAAGAAGAAAGUCAAAGAGUCCUAGGUGUUUUGGAUAAAAGCAGGGAUCCGUUAACACUUUUAGCAGGGAAAACUCAAGGAUAUAGAUCAAAGCCAAAGAAGUUUGUGCCACCAGGAACAAUUUGCGAUCAUUGUGGUUUCAAAGGCCAUUUCAAGGGUGAUUGUUAUAGGUUGGUAGGGUAUCCACCAGAUUUUCAAAGCAAGAGAAGAGGACCUGAUGGUUUUAAGCCAGAUUUCAAGCCAAAUGCACACUUAAGUAAGAAUACUGAUGAUCUCACCAACAGAGGAAAGCUUACUGAAAAUUAGGGGUCAUCAUCUCAAUAUGAGGAUUUGGGAAACAAAGUGGGUCGAGCAGGAAUAUCAGGAUGUGUUGCUAACUUGUCAGGUAUGAAUUCUUUAGAUUUCAAAACAGACACAGUUUAUGAGUGGAUAAUUGAUAGUGGAGCUACACAUCAUAUUACACCUAAUGAGGAGUUAUUAAUUGCCAAUAAAAGAACACAUAAUAGUGUUGGAGUUCAAGUUCCAACAGGGAAGAGGUGUGACAUCAAGAGUAUUGGAGUUGUGAAGAUUUUAGAAGGGGAAGAACUUCAGAAUGUGUUGUAUGUGCCAGAUUUCAAAUUUAGCUUGUUAUCAGUUGCAAAGCUAACCAGGGAACUUGCUUGUUCAGUUUCUUUCUAUCCUGACUAUUGUAUAUUUCAGGGACUUUACAAUGGCAAGGUAUUGGGGAUUGGUAAAGAAAAGGAAGGACUAUACAUACUAGAGAAUCAACUAAGGUCAAUAGUUCAUGCUGUGACUGUUGACAAGGGGAAUGGAGAUACAAAGCUAUGGCACUUAAGGCUAGGACAUGCUUCACCUGGAGUUCUAAAACACAUCCAGUCUUUGAAACAUCUCUCAAAUAAAGAGGUGCAACAUAACUGUGAGAUAUGUCCUUUAGCAAAGCAAUGUAGAUUGAAAUUUCCUAUUAGUACAAGUAAAACAUUUGGAGUUUUUGAACUGGUUCAUGUAGAUGUUUGGGGACCAUAUAGAAAGCCUACUUUUGACAAGAAAUAUUAUUUUGUUACUAUAGUAGAUGACUAUAGCAGGUACACAUGGUUAUGUCUCAUUCAUUCCAAGAGUGAAGUCAUUGUAGUACUCAAAGAUUUCAUUGCUUUAAUAAAAAAUCAGUUUGGCUUGUCUGUGAAAGCUUUAAGGUCUGAUGAUGGUACCGAAUUUUUCAGUUCAUCAGUUGUUGAUUUACUUGCUUCAUGUGGUAUUGUACAUCAAAGUAGUUGCGUUUAUACCCCACAACAGAAUGGUACAGUAGAAAGGAAACACAGACAUAUCUUGGAAGUUGCAAGGGCUUUAAAGUUUCAAAGCUCUCUUCCUAUUCAUUUUUGGGGUGAGUGUGUUAGGACUGCUGUGUACUUGAUAAAUAAAUUGCCUACUGAAGUGCUGGGAGGGAGAUCACCUUAUGAGAUGCUACAUCAGAAAAUACCUGGUAUUGAUCAUUUAAGAGUGUUUGGUUGCCUAUGCUAUGCAACUAGGUUGCCUAAAGGAGAUAAGUUUGCCCCUAGAGCUAGAAAGUCAGUUUUUCUAGGAUAUUCUGAAGUUCAAAAGGGUUACAGAUUAUAUGAUUUAAUUGAGCAGACAUUCUUUGUGAGCAGAGAUGUGGUCUUCAAAGAGAAUAUUUUUCCUUAUCAAACAGAUACAUUGUCUCCUGAGUCAGACAUGUUUGAGUUAAAUAGCUCAGAAUUGAGUCAUGUAUAUUCAAAUGAGGAUGUGGUGUUCGAUACAACAGUGGUUGAACCAUCUGUCUGUGGUAUUGAACCACCCGAGGUUGAUGCAGUUCCUGAUGUUGUCACUGCAGUCACAGAGGAUAGUGAUUCACUAUAUGAAGGGAAUCCAAUCUCAUCACCAGAUAUACAACCUGUCAUUAUUCCAUAAACACAUGUCAGACCUCCCAGAAACAUCAAACCACCUAGUUGGCUUGAUGACUACAUUACUAAUCCUAAGAAAUCUGCCAAUUGUACAUAUCCCAUCUCAAAUUACCUUCAAUAUUCUCAUCUGUCAGCAGCUUACCAAGCCUAUUUAGGUACUUUUUCUCAACCAGUUGAGCCUAAAUCCUUCAAGGAAGCAUCUUUAGAUGACAGGUGGGUCGCAGCUAUGAGUGAUGAAAUUGCUGCCCUUGAGAGCAAUCACACCUGGGAUAUAGUCGAUUUGCCACCAGGUAAACAAGCCAUUGGUUCUAAGUGGGUAUUCAAGAUCAAACACAAUGCUGAUGGAUCUAUAGACAAGUACAAGGCAAGGUUGGUAGCUAAGGGGUACAAUCAAAAGGAGGGGUUAGACUAUCAUGAGACUUUCUCACCAGUUGCCAAAAUGGUAACAGUGAGAACUCUCAUUACAAUUGCAGCUUCCAAAGAUUGGCCUCUCAUUCAGAUGGAUGUUAACAAUGCAUUCCUACAAGGUGAUUUAUAUGAAGAGGUUUAUAUGGCUUUGCCACAAGGGUUUCACAGACAGGGGGAGACUAAAGUAUGCAAACUGACCAAGUCUUUAUAUGGAUUAAAGCAGGCCUCUAGACAAUGGAAUAUUAAAUUGUCUACUGCUCUACUGGAAACAGGCUAUGUUCAGAAUUCACAUGAUCAUUCCUUGUUCACAAAACAUUCAGGAGAUGAUAUAGUGAUGAUCCUUGUAUAUGUUGAUGAUUUGUUAAUUACAGGAAACAGUCAAAGUUUGAUUGAGGAUGCUCAAAAGACUCUACACAACAAAUUUAAAGUGAAAGACUUGGGGCAACUUAGAUACUUCCUAGGAAUUGAGAUAUUGAGAUCAGAUAAGGGAAUCUUACUCAAUCAGAGAAAGUACACCUUGGAACUGCUGUCCACAGUGGGGUUAGGUGGUGCUAAGCCAGUUUUUACUCCUAUGGAGAUGAACACAAAGCUUACUACAAUAGAGUAUGACUCAAUGGUUGGAAAUAAAGAUGAUCCUGUACUAACUGAUGUACAUAGCUAUCAACAGUUGAUAGGGAAGCUGAUUUACUUAACAAUCACCAGGCCAGACAUUUGUUUUGCAGUACAGGUCCUAAGUCAAUUUAUGCAACAUCCCAAGAAGUCACAUUGGGAUGCAGCACUAAGAGUCCUUAGAUACCUGAAGGGAUCACCAGGACAAGGAGUAUUAUUGAAGAAAGGACCAAUUACAAACUUGACAGCCUUCUGUGAUUCAGACUGGGCUGCAUGCCCCAAUACUAGGAGAUCAGUAACAGGAUAUGUUAUUAUGCUUGGAGAGUCUAUGGUCUCAUGGAAAUCAAAGAAGCAACAUACAGUGAGUAGGAGCUCAGCUGAGGCUGAGUACAGAAGUAUGGCAGGGGCAGUAUCAGAAAUUAUUUGGUUAGUUGGUUUACUGAAAGAUCUGAAAAUAGAUGUCACUACUCCAGUCAGGUUGUGUUGUGAUAGCAAAGCAGCUAUGCAAAUUGCUUCAAACCCAAUCUUUCAUGAAAGGACUAAGCAUAUUGAAAUAGAUUGUCAUUUUGUGAGAGAGAAGCUCAAAGAUGGCCUAAUCAAACCAGAGUUUGUUGGCACUAAAUCUCAGUUGGCAGACUUGCUUACAAAAGGCUUAGGAACAGUACAACAUCAUUUUCUUCUGUCCAAGUUAGGAGUUCUUGAUGUUUUCCAUCCUAGCUUGAGGGGGAGUAUUAAGUCUUAAGAAGUCAUUAAGUCGGUUAGUUAGCUCAUUAAUUGAAUAGUCAGUUAGUUAGUUAUUAAAAUCUGUUGUAACUAACUACACUGCUUGUAACUAACUACACUGCAGAAAGCCAGCUAAGGCAUCGUGUAUAAAUAGACAUUCAAUUGUCAUUGUUGACACAAGAAAUAAAAUUCCUUUCUAUCCUUUGUUCAAAGUGCUCUCAAUUCAAUUGUUCAUCAUCUGUGAUUGAUGAAAGUUAACAUCUUCUAUUCAUUGUAGAGGGGGGGAUUUUUUUUUUUGGAGUUGAAAAUUUUAGAAAAAGAAACAUUGAGAAGUAGCGAGAAAGCAAGAAGAAAAUAUUGGAGAAAAGUGGGGAGUUUUUCUUGAGCGAUUUUUACACUUGAGAAAUUUGGAAUACAUUUUAGUUUUUGGUUUGUAAGAGCCUUUGCUCGAAGUCAGUUCGGAUAUCCCGAUUGUUUGCUCGAUUUUUUGAAGUGGUGUAAGAGGUCGCCGCUCGUUUCGGCUCGUUCUGUCUCGGCUUCGUUGCACCUUUAAAGGUAACACCUCUUUCUUUGUAUGAUUUUUCUUCCUUUAUAUUUUAAGAUGGUGUUUUACUUGUAUCCUGGAAGUUUGCUUCCUGCUGAUAGUUAUUAAGUUCUUGACGUUCUGAUACACCUUAGUUGCGAUACUCUAGUUAUUUCGAGUAUCGUUUUCGAUCUUGUUGAUUCGUGCCUAGAUUUGCUGCUUCUUUGUUGGUUUUAUUUAAGGGUGUUUCACUAAUCUUUUCUUGAAUUUAUUGGUUUGAAUUCCACCGAGCAUGUAUGCUUCGUUUCACUCGUUCAUUAACGUCAGCAUCUGUAGGCUCUCCCUUUGCUGCUUGCCUUUGCUUAACCUGUUCAACAAGUAUGUUUGUCCAGUUUAGCGAUUGAUUGAGAGUGUUCAAUGUCUAUUGCUGUUUUUGAAGUAAAAUUGCAGCUUUGCAUCGGGUUAUUUAAGUAUCGGCUAAUCGUCCUAUGUUUUUGAGGCAUAGUAAUUAAUUUUCUUGCAUGUUGCCGCUAAUUAAAAUUGCAAUGGCUCUUCUAUCUUUGUCUAAAUCUAAAGAUGUCUCCUGAUGUUGGCUCGCCAUCUAUCUUGGCCAUUUACGUGUUUCUUUGCUUAAUAAUGCCCCUUUUCUCUGCAUUUUUCUUGUAUUUAUUCAUGUCUACUCGUGUUUGUGUCCGGCAUGCUCUUUAUCCCUUAAUGAUCUCAUCACUGGCUCCCCAACUUGUUUGGAAUUUGAUCCCGCCAUCAGUAAUUAAUUUUGUUUUCUGUACUGAAAGUCCCGGGUGACAAUUACUUAAGAAUGUGGAGAAUGACAGCCUUUAUUGUGCUAUUAGUCUCCUCGUCUGCAAUAAGUUGAUUUUUUCAGCUAAAAGUAGUAUUGUUGAGAUAAAUAUUUAACAAAGAUUCCGACUUGUUCAUCUUAUGUCUAAAAAACAAUAAUCAUAUCCCUUGGCUGAUUCACGUGUUUCCCGAAGUGUGCUAAGUAAUGAGUUGUUUCGGUCUCAAAUGUAUAUCCUGGCUGCCGUAGUUGCCAAAUUGGACUUUAGUAAUUUCAUGUUGUCUUUUUCCUUUGGUCUACAAUUUAAAAUUUAAUUAUUAUUUUUUCUAUGUGUCCACACUUGCCUAUUUCAACUACUGGUAAUUUGCUAAAAAAUGGAGUGAGUCGGAGGCAAUAGUAUAAGCGUGAGGAGUCUGGUCAUCUCGGCUUGCUCUUGGUUUUUCUUUUCAUGUAUUUGCAUUUUUUGUUCACAGCUACUGCUAGUUGCUUGCAAUAUAAAUGGGUUAUGUUCCUUUUGAUACGUUCAUCAUUUAGUGACUAGUUCUGAGAUGUUAUUACUGGUUACUGAUUCUCUUGUUCUUUUCUUCGUUUUGCAUGAAAAAUCUGUCUGAGUUCAUUACGAACUCCUAUCUUCCCUCUUGCAUUUUGGGAGAGCCGCAAAGGCUCAAAAACUCCCUUUAUCGAGUUAGCCGGCCACUAAAAUCAAAGAACAAGUCCCUCAAAUCGACGAACAGGUCCCAAAGGUGGGGAAAUGCGGAAGCGGAGGAUAAUUGAAAAGAUCGGGCCAAAGGCCCACUCUUUAUAUAAAGAGGAUUGUAUUUUUUAUUUAUUAGGCCUAAGUCCAGUUAUUUGCUAUUAUAUUGUUAGAAUUUAGGACAGGUGGCGAGAAUUGGGCCUUGUGGCCCAAAAUGAAAUUAGGCCCAAGUGUUGGUCCAGGCGGACAGAAAAAUCAAACUUGGGCCCGAGUCUCUUUCCCUUUCUAUUUUAUUGUGUUUAUCUACUAGUUAAUAUUUGCCAUUAAUCUUAAGAUUAACAAUUCAAAUCCCCAAAAGACGCUCAUUUUCGCUUUAAAUCUUUUUUACUAAACCAUUCAUCUCUUAACAAGACUUAAAGAAAUAAUUUUAUAAGAUAACCACUCAGAUAAUAUUUAAAUAUUUCCCUUUUUUCCUUUUUAAAAAAAAAAUAGCUCUAACUAUAAAAUAGUUCAAUCAUGUUAUUCGAAUUAAGUUAAAGUAUUUUUAGCCAAAUAAUUAAUUGUCGGAUAACCGCUUAUUAGCGGGGAUUUUGGGUGCUUUCAAAUCCUUUCUGAAAUGCUAAUAUGAACCUCGAACCCCCUUAAAUAUUUUUCAAUUGAUUUCCUGUUUUAAUCAUUUGAAAAUCAGAUUUCUUGAUUUUUCUUAAAAAUUAAGUGGCGACUUUUAAAAACAGUCUUAAAUUAUUUUAAAAUAAAACAGUUAGUGUUACUAUUUGUUAAUCAAAUCCACAAAUAAAAUUAUCUUUAUAUUAUUAAGUUUUAUUUCAAGUAAAAGCAUAAAUAGCUAAAUAAAAAUAUUAACCUAAUUAUUUUUCAAUAAUCAUAAUAAAAUAUAAAAACUAUGACAAUAUUCCAUAGGCUACGUAGUGAUUCCUAGAAAUUUUAGGAAAAUUUUAUUUUAUGUAAUACAUAUUUUAUAAACAUAAUUUAUAUUUAGAUUGUAAUAUUUCAAACUUUAGACUGAUUUUGAGUUUAGACUCUUGUUAUUUUUAAUACUCUAUUUAUUAUUUAUUUUUAAUUAAUUUUUAUUUGGCUCACGGGUUGGCCCCCUAUCCAUAUUUCUCAAGCCCCUCAAAUUGGCAGACUUAUUCAGGCCAGGCUAAAAAAUCACCUUUUUCUUAAAUGGGCUCCAAAAAUCAUAGCCCAACCCUAUCAAAUCACGGGUUAGGCUAGGCCGGCCCAACGGGCCUAGCCCAUAUUGACGGCUCUAUAAACAACUAAUAAAACUAAUUGGAUCAUUCUUACUGCACCAUUGGUCCUAAUCCUAUACCUAUCAUACUGAUAUAGAGGCGAAUUCAGAACUUAAAAUUUAUGAAUUCUUAUAAAAAAAAAACUAAAAUUUAUGAACGAUAUAAUUGAGUUCAUAAUCAAAUUAUACUAAAUACUUAAUGAUUUUCUUAGUACAUAUAAAUAAUAUGAAUAAAAUCUAUUGAGUUCACACUAACCUCUCUAUAGUGUGGCAGGUAAAAUCAAUAAUUUUGAUCCAAAUUGUACUUUGUAUUUAUGAUAAUAAAUUUGUUUGUUAUGUGUAAAAAAAUAUUCGGAACCCAAUCCGACCAGUAAACGCCAGUAGUAGUCAUAGUAUUUGGAACAAAGAAAAGCAAGGGAAUAACAAACCAUAUCUUCUGCUCCAACUUCAUUUUCUUAUAGUAUUUUUGGAGGGAAAAAAGGGAAUACAAAUUAAAUAUUAUCAGAAUGCCAACCAAAUACUGACAUUGUGCUCUAUCUUUACUGUGGAAAAAAAUUAAAUGUAAUUUAUUUAUGCAGUUUUUUAAUCUUCCAGGGGUCCCAUUUUUCUAUAGAUUGAAUUAUCUUUAAUAUUUUAUGACAAAAUACUGUAAAGUGGUGUAUAGUGGCAUAUAUAUAUACCAUUUGUAUAUUCCUCAAAAUCAUGAUAAUACCAUUUGUUUCUAACUUUUUAAUUGUACUAAUUGAAUAGAUUAACUGUACAAUAUACUUUUGUUUAGUUCAAAAUUUUCCUCUUUGUACUUUAAGCUUUGGUGUCUAUUGUUUUCCACAUUUUAUGAGGUGUUAGGACUAGCAAAAGGCAUAAUACAUAAACAUACAUUCAAACUAGGUCUUAGUUAGAGUGAUCAUUUAGACACCUCCAAAAUUUAUGUAUCACGUCAGUAUAGGGUGUCCACGAGACACAUUAAGGAUGAGUUGGAGUGUUUAGCUGUUAGUUGAGAUGUCUAGAUGUACAUUCUCAAUUAGUUACGGUUGCGAAAUUUUAAUUGGAUGACAAAACUAGGAUCGAAGUUUCGAGUGUUUGGCAUCUGACAGAUGAAAAAAAAAAUCUGAAAUUUAAGAACAAACUUUUUCUUACAUAACGAACACAUGAAAAUAAGUAAGAAACGUACUUAUUCUCCGGAAAAACAUUUUCCAAUAAGACAUUUUAGAGGCAUUGUUAUCAUUUGGUAGAUCCAGGUCCAUGACCUAUUUCUAUGGAACACAUUUUCCAUGGUACUGAACACACUCUCAGAACUUUGCUCGUUGAUAUCCACUAAUACGGACCUCACUUGUAGGAUUUCAUUGGAUAUGUUGUCGUUGUUUGAGUUGAUAUGCCCUGCUGAAAGUCUUUGUGGGUAGGAGGGAGUAUAAGAAUGAUCCACAACUCCCGGCAACGAUGUAACAUUACCAUGUUGGUCCAAGUAUAACAAAUGGAUCCCUAUUUUCUUUACUGUGCCUCUGCCAGUUUCAUUCUCUACUGUUAUCUGUUCCCCGCCUUUGAUAUUCAGGCCUUUAAAAGGUGUAUCAUUUGAGUAAGAGAAGUAAUAUACAUAUGAUACUUCGUGACUGUCAGAUCUAUCACAAGGCCAAAUCCAUGAAAAACCUGAACGCUUUAUAUGGGCAACAGUAACAGCGAAGUGUAUAAGCUCAUGUACAUCGCAAAGGCGGCAAACAAACCAGAGAACCAUUCCUAAGAACUUGUUAUUAUGUACUGUGGGCAUAGUCAAACAGAUAGAUGUAGCUGUUACUUUAUUGCUGCACCAAUCUGGAAUCUCAUUGCUUUCGUGAUUAAUUUGUAAUGACAGCUUCAUCAGACAAAUUAAGACGCAAUUAGAUCAUUAAUUAUUAAUAUGAUACGAGAGAUAGAUCAUUAAUUAUUAAUAUGAUACUAACCUCAUACCGUUGAUGUUUUCUAGACGGAAUUGAUAGAGCAUGGGCACUAAAGAAGCCUUCAUUGAAUGGAUUCUGCAGAAGAGUACAAUUAAUCAUGCCCAUCUUCUCUAUUGAAGGGAGGUUGUCCAACCCUGUAAUCUUGACCAGUUUUUGGCAAUUCCUAAGUUCAAGAGUUGUAAGGUACUUUAAAUUUGAUAUUGACGGGAGUGUUUGAAGGUUCUCACAAUCAUUCAAAUGCAAGGAACUCAACCGUGGUAACUUGGAAAAAUCAAAGGGUAGAUUGAGGAAACUGUUGCCGCUCAAAUCUAAAUCAUGUAAGUUGGAUAAACUCCCAAUAUCCCUAGGAACAUCAGCCUCCGAGAAACCACAAUAUCGAAGGCUUAACAUCGUAAUAAAAAUUGGCAAGAAUUCUACGCAGCGGACUCUUCUUUGAGAAAACCUCCUUUUGGUCUCCAAGUAUUGACCUCCUAAUUCCAAAAUUAUAAGAUUUCCUAGCAUUUCAACAGAUCCAGGCAAUUCUUUUAUACCUGUUUCACCUGCAUUAAGAAUACUUAGGCUUUGCAUAUCUCCAAUGUCAACUGGCAGUGUUUGUAAAGAUAAGCAGUCAUUAAUGUACAAGUAUUGAAGGGAUUUUAGCUGGCAUAUGCUGCUCGGAAGAUCCGUAAUCUUUUUGCAACCAUUCAAUUUAAGAUCAGUUAGUCUGUCCAAAUUUCCUAUUGAUGGAUGAAUCUCCUUUAGACUUGAGCAAUUCUCAAGCCACAAAGUCUUGAGACUUCGUGAACCGUUGAAGUUUGGAGUUUUUCUAAGGCUCUUGCAAUCAGAGAGAUCCAGCUUUUUCAAAUUUCUACAAUACUAAAAGUAAACAAAAUAUUGUUUCAAUUAAGAUUUUCUUUCUCUUAAACAUUACACAUAAAAUUGCAGAAUUGAGUAACGGACCUGCAAAUUCAAACCAAAUUCUUGGAUAUUGCUCCCUUUCAUAUUCAGAAAUACAAGUUUCUCAGAUGGAAAAUUUGACGGUAUACAUUUUAAAGGACAUCCUUUCCAAGACAGCCAUCUGAGCUCCUUGGACAAUAGCUCAAAAUCUCCACUAAUAUGUAAGUCAUCAAUUUUAAGCACCCUAAGAUAUUUCAUUUUCUGAAAUGCUUUGGUGCUCACCUUCACACCCUUUAAUGCCUGUCGUUCUACCACCAGUAUUUCUACAUUUUCAGAACCCUGCAGUUUAGUAAAAAGAAAAGUACUAUAAGACCAUGUUUAAGUAUGAUAAAUUAAGAAAGAGAAAUGCUUUAUACAAAUUGAAGGUCAAACAAAGAGAAUAAAUUAUCUACCAAUAAAACUAAAUUCACACAUUAUAUCCAACUAAAGGAUAUUUAUUUGAUAAUUUUGUCUUUGAUAGUUUGAGUGUUUAGACUCCAGUAAAUGUUCAUUUCAAGUACAAAAUGGUUCAAACAUCGAGAGAUAAUUUACUUGCCGGAGAAGAAUUAAGCACAAAUGCAUAAAUUAUUAGCAAAUAUAUAUCAAUAUAAAUGAAAAAUGAAGAAGAAUAAGUAUUAACCAAGAUAAAGAUAAUGAAAUUUACUGACUUUAUUUCCUUGUAGAACAUCAAUGGCUUCUAGAGGGUUGAACAAUCUACUUCGUUUUCCAGGGUCUUGAGAUUCCAUGCGAACGAUUUCUCUUCCCAUUUCCUGCACUAGAUCAUGCAUCACCAAACCAGGCCGAUCCUCCCUUUGGAGCAAGUUCCUUUGGACUAAGGUUGAAAUUGCACUUUCAGAAUAAAAACCACACGCGUUUAAUGUUUUGGCAACUUCAUCCUCAUAACAACCAUGGAAGGCACAUGCGAUAUCAAGGAAAACACUCCGAGUAUUGACAUCAAGUCCAUCAAAGCUUAUCUUGAGAAUCUUUUGAAUAUCACCAUGAGGAAUUGCUUUUAGUUUUUUGAACUCGUAUCUCCAUUCUUUAACGGAUCUCCCUAGCAGAUGUGACCCCAAUGUCACAAGAGCUAAUGGUAGCCCAUAUGAAUAUUUUAUUAUGUCUUGUGCCAGUUUAACAUAUUCUUGUGGUGGAGAAAGACUGUUAAAAGCAUGGCAAUAAAAAAGUUGCUGAGCUUCAUUUUCAUUUAAAAGUUUGGCCUGGUAUAUCUCAGUUGUUGUAAGCCCAUACAACAAAUGCUCGUCUCGGGUUGUAAUAAUUAUUACACUACCAGAGCCAAACCAACUUCUUUCUCUUGUUAAGGAUUCUAAUUGGCUUCUAUGAUCCACGUCAUCAAGAACAAUUAGAACCUUCUGAGACCCAAGUCUUGCUUUGAUGAGAUUAACACCUUCAGCAACACUAUCAACUUCAAAUUCCUUAGUUUUGAGGAUUUGAUAAAGUAGUUUCUCUUGAAGCUUGACCAGACCCGAUUCUUCAGUUUUUGAUCUAAUGUCAGAAAGGAAGCAAGUACCAUCAAACCGUUGAAAUAUUCGAUUAUAGAUAGCUUUUGCCAAAGUUGUUUUUCCAAUUCCACCAACGCCACAUAUACCAACCAUGCGAACUUCAUGCUCACAUCCACUUUGCAGUAACACCUCUAUAUGUUUGAUAGGAGAAUCUAAUCCAAUUGGGUAAUGAGCAACAUCUAGAGGUGUCUGGUUAACCUCUUGCAGAACUUGUUUUAUAAUACCUUCAAUAAACUUUGAUUCAUGCCUACAGUUUUUGCAACAAUAAAUACUUAAGUAUUUUAAAAUAUUUGAUGAACAAAAUAAAAACCAAUAGCCAAAAGAUAACAAAGUUUAUAGAAUGGAGAUUAUCCCUUGUCCUAAUCUACAGUUUAAUUUGUCCUUAUCAUGUACUGUGGGCAUAGUGAAACAGAUAGAUGGAGCUGUCACUUUAUUGCUGCACCAAUCUGGAAUCUCAUUGCAUUCGACACAAAUUCGUAAAACUUGCUUCUUCAGAGUGUGAAAUGAUAGAGCCUGGGCACUAAAGAAGCCUUCAUUGAAUGGAUUCUGCAGAGAAGUACAAUUAAUCAUGUCCAUCUUCAUUAUAGAAGGGAGGUUGUCCAACCCUGUAAUCUUGACCAGUUUUUUGCAAUUCCUAAGUUCAAGAAUUUUAAGGUACUCUAAAUUUGAUAGUGACGGGAGUGUUUGAAGAUUCUCACAAUCAUUCAAACGCAGCUCUCUCAAGAAUCGAAACUUAGAAAAAUCACAGGGUAGACAAUGGAAACUGUUGCCACUCAAAUCUAAAGAUCUUAAGGAGGAUAAACUCCCAAUAUCCCUAGGAAUAUCAGCCUCCGAGAAACCACAAUAUGAAAGGCUUAGAUAUGAAAUAAAAAUUGGCAAGGAUUCUACGUGAUGGACUCUUCUUUGAGAAAAUCUCCUUUUGGCCUCUAAAUUUGGACCUCCCACUUGCAAAUUUAUAAGAUCUCUUAGCAUUUCAACAGAUCCGGGCAAUUGCUUUAUACCUGUAUCAAGUGCAAAAAGAUAUCUUAGACUCUGCAUAUCUCCAAUGUCAACUGGCAGUGUUUGUAUUCAAGGGAUUUUAGCUGGCAUAUGCUGUUUGGAAGAUCCGUAAUCUUAUUGCAACCAUACAAACGCAGAUCAGUUAGUAUGUCCAAGUUUCCUAUUGAUGGAUGGAUCUCCUUCAGACUCGAGCAAUUCCAAAGCCACAAAGUCUCGAAACUUUGUGAACCAUUGAAGUUUGGAGUACUUCUGAGGCGCUGGCAAUCAGAGAGAUUCAGCUUCUUCAAACUUGUACAAUACUAAAAGAAAACAAAUUAUAGUUUCAAUUAAAAUUUUCUUUCACUUAGUUGAAAUAUAACAGUACACAUGAAAUUGCAGAAUUGAGUAACGAACCUUCAAUUUCAAACCAAAUUCUUGGAUAUUACUCUCUUGCAUAUUCAGAACUACAAGUUUUGGACAAUAGCUCAAAAUUUCCACUGAUAUGUAACUCGCCGUCAAUUAUAAGCACCCUAAGAUUUAUCAUUUUCUGAAAUGCUUUGGUGCUCAAGUUCACACCUUUUAAUGCCCAUCGUUCUACCACCAGUACUUCUACAUUUUUGGAACCCUGUAGUUUAAUUAAAAGAAAAGUACCCCAUAAGACCCCAUGUUAAGUACGAGAAAUUAAGAGAGAAAAAUGUGUUAUACAAAUAUAAGGUCAAAGAAUUAACCUGAAUACAUUACGUAUCAAGAAAAAUGAAUUCACAAAUUAGAUGAUUAGAUCCAACUAAUUGCUCAAAAAAGCUACAAACUGCAGUUAAAGAGAAAUAACACCAAAAGAAUAAACAAAGAAAACAAUAGCUUAUAGAAACUUGAUAACGGUACAAAUAAAAGAUAGAACAUACAUAUUAGACUAUAUUUAAAAGAAUAUUUGACAUAUAAAGUUUUUGAACUAAUAAGAUAAAUGUUCCACAAACUAAUUUCCGCAAUCAGAUACAAGCAUAUAGAAAUUUAUAAUUAAACAAAAUGCUCAUUUCAAGUAUAUAGUCGCAGGCAAACAACUAGAGAUAAUUUACUAACCAAAGAAGAAGCACAAAUGAAUUGAAUUCUUGUGGUGACAGUAGAAAUUGUAGGUAAAAGAACGGAAUUAUCCAGUUGGUUAAUAAGCAAAUGUUUAUCAAAUUAAAUUGAAAAUAAAAAGUAUAACCAUGAUAAAGAUAAAGAAUUUACUGACUUUAUUUCCUUGUAGAACAUCACGGACAUCUUGAGGGUCGAACAAUCUACUCCGUUUUCCAGGGUAUCGAGAUUCCAUGCGAACAAUUUCUCUUCCCAUAUCCCGCACUAGAUCAUGCAUCCUCAAACAAAGUUCAUCCCUUUGAAGCAAGUGUCUUUUGACCAAAGUUGCAAUUGCACUUUCAGAAUAAAAACCACAUGCAUAUAAUGUUUUGGUAACUUCAUCAUUAGAAAAUCCAUGGAAGGUGCAUGAGAUAUCAAGGAAAACACUUUGAGUAUCAGAAUCAAGUCCAUCAAAGCUUAUCUUGAGGAUCUUUUGAAUAUCACAAUGAGGAAUUGCUCUUAGUUUUUCGAACUCGCAUCUCCAUUCUUCUACAGAUCUCCCUUGCAAAUGUGACCCCAAUGUCACAAGAGCUAAUGGUAGCCCACCUGAGUAUUUGAUUACAUCUUGUGCCAGCUCAACAUAUCCUUGUGGUGGAGAAAGACUGUUGAAAGCACAACGAGACAAAAGUUGCAGAGACUCAUCUGGAUAUAGUAGUUUGGCCUCAUAUCUCUCAUCUUCUCUAAGCCCACAUAGCAAAUGCUCGUCUCGGGUUGUAAUAAUUAUUACACUACCAGAGCCAAACCAACUUCUUUCUCUUGUUAAGGAUUCUAAUUGGCUACUAUGACCCACGUCAUCAAGAACAAUUAGAACCUUCUUUGACCCUAGUCUUGCUUUGAUUAGAUUGACACCUUCGGCAAUACUGCUAACUUGGACAUCCUUAAUUUUGAGAACUUGCCGGAGUAGUUUUUCUUGUAACUUGACUAGACCAAAUGCUUCAGAUUCUGAUCUAACAUCGGAAAGGAAGCAACUACCACCGAAGUGUUGAAAUAUUAAUUGGUUGUAGAUAGCUUUUGCUAGAGUUGUUUUUCCAAUCCCACCAACGCCACAUAUACCAACCAUGCGAAUGUCAUGCUCACAUCCACUUUGCAGUAAUAACUCUAUAGCUUUGACACGAGAAUCUACUCCAACUGGGUGCCAAGCAACAUCUAGAGGUGUCUGGAUGUUGACCUCUUGAGAAACUUGUUUUAUAAUACUUUCAAUAAAUUUUGAUUCAUUCCUACAUUAUUAUUUUUUUAGCGAAACCAGAAGUUAAAACAAAAAAAUAAGUAAAAACUUCGCAUUUGAUGAACAUUUACAAUAUUAGUUAAUUAUCAUUAGAUUCAAUGUUGCUACCGGCUUUAGGAACAUUUACAAAGAAUGUUGAUUGCCACUAAAAUUACAUAUUUAGCAAUAACUGUCGUUAAUUAAUAGCUGCUAAAGAUCAUUUUUGGUGUAGUGACUUGACAAGGAGAUCAAGGUUGAAGAAAACAAAUGGCCUUCGUUCUCUUCAUACAGGACAUUUUAGAAAAUGGAUUUAAUUCACACAUAUCGAUCUUUUUACCUAUUAGUACAUUCUGACUUGAGAUAGCAUGCUAAUAAUUGCUUCUAUUUUUACCAUAUUAUCAACUAGUACAUUUAUCAAAAACAGUAGUUGUAAUUAUCUAAUAAUAAGCAUAUGAUUGUGUAAAUAUACUUCUACACUCAUUAAAAGUGGACAUUUAUAAUUAUCUUGUAAAUAAGACAAGAUACAUAAUAGUGUAAGAAUUAGUGUAUAUAACUUAGAAGCCGUUUGAAUUAAUAAAUCAUACCCGUCAGCAACAUUUUGCAAAUUCCAUCCAGAUAGAUUUGCGGCUUCAGUCAAUGCAGCUUUCCACUUCUCCACCCUUUGAGCUCCAAACAAUCGUUCCUUAUGUUUUGCCAAAGCUUCACCAAAGGACCCAGUUUGCCUUCGCACUUGAGAAGGAUCAACAUCAUAGAAAAUAGGCAAAACUACCUGAUUUAACCUCUCUCUGCAAUCGAGAAUUUUAACGAGUUCAUCAAGACACCAACUAGACGAAGCAUAAUUUUUGGAGAAAACAACAAUGGCAACCCUAGAUUCUUCAAUUGCUUUCUCAAGUUUGACUGAAAUGACUUCUCCCUUUCUCAAUUCUUCAUCAUCUAUGAAGGUAUUAACUCCGACUUGACACAAUCUGAAAUAAAGAUGACUGGUGAAAUUUUUGCGCGUAUCUUCACCUCUGAAACUCAGGAAUACGUCAUAAUGAUAAUAGAAGUGGGAAGAAGUAGAUGAUUCUCCUUUUACAAAUUGAGUAUCCAUGUAUUGAAACUUCGGUGUGAUGGAAGGAUGAAAUUUAAGUUUUAUUUGUCCAAUAAAUAUAUUGAAAAUUAAAAUAAAUAUCCAUUUUUAGCUAUUCAAUUUGCAACAAUUAAGAUAAACUUUACUACUAUUUAAUUUAUAAUUUAAUCUUGUUACUCGGCUUGUGUCGUUGGACAUCAACAUAGUCGUUAACAUGUCACUAUGUGCCGGCAUUAAUUAUAAUCAUUUUGCAAUAUAUUAGCUAAAAUAUUAAAUUUAUUGUAUUUAAAAUUGUUAUAUCAUAUUUAAAUAAUAUAUUCUGUUGUCUGUUUUGGUCAAGAAUUAAUGGAUCCGUCGUUAAGUUUAAUUAAUACUCCCUUCAUCCACUUUUUAUUGUCAUAGUUUUUCUUUUAGAGUAAAAUUUUUUUUACUAAUAUUUUAUAAUGUAUUUUUUUCAUCAUAUUAAUAUGCAAAAAAUUGUAAUUUAUAAUUUUUUCGUAUAGUUUUUGAAUAUCUAAAUUUUUUAUUUAAAAUAUCGAAUUAAUAUAAUCUAAUUUAACUUUGAAAAUUAAUCAAAUUAACUUUCGAAAAUGACAAUAUGAUAAAAAUGGACGGAGAGAAUACCAAAAGAGUUGGCAAAUUUCCACCAAAACUUCGCAAGUGGAAAUUAUUAUUAUCUUAAAGUUAUGAAUUCACAUCUAUAAUUAUUAGUUAGUUUAUUAUAUUUAAAUAAAAAAGAGGAAAAGUCGGAAGUUGUAAAAUUUUAAAUGACAAGUUGAAUGUUUCAACGUUGAAUUUAUGAUACUUUAAUAAGCAAUAUUCGUUCUGUAAUAAAUUAAUCGCAAAGAAUUGAUUAGGAAUUUGGUUGAAAAUAGAAAUGGUCCAAUUCAAGAUGAAACUAUUAGAAUUGACCUUUGGUGAGGAAGUAAUUAAACUACUCCCUUCGUCUAUUUUUAUUUGUCUAGUAUUAACGCAUGCAAUAAAUAAAACAAAAACAUGAUCGUAUUUAUUCUUGUAUUCUCACAAAAAAGUUAUAUUUGUCAUUUGUUGUACUUUAGAGUCAUAUUUAUCCUUGAGGCAUUAAAUCUCCAUGACCCGCCUUAAUUUAACGCAGAAUAGGACGAACACUCUUCUCCAAAGUCCAAGCUAAGACUGGCAUUGUAGGUUACAAUGUUCUCUGGCAUUGUAGGUUACAAUGUCCUCCAAAGUCCAAGCUAAGACUGCCAUUACUAAAAAUCAAUAAAUUACACAGUUCGAUCACUUACAAUGUUCUCUGGCAUUGUAGGUUAAUCAGAGAGACCCUAUAUUCACUAUACAAUGAAAAAGUUGAUUCAAUUUUUUUAAACUAAGCUUUAGUGCAACUCAACGUACUAGCACUAUACAAUGGAAAAUUUGUUUACAUAAAUUAAACAAAAUUUUCUAUAGAAGCUACUGCCUAUAUCGAACACUCAAUUGUUCAUACCUAAUAAUGGCUUUGUAGCCCUAUAAUAGUACACAUUCUACUACAUCCAUCUUCAUUGACAUCAUUUUCCUCUUCUUGUGUGCUUUAUGCUUUUCUGCAAUCCUCAGCUUCCUCUUGGCAUUUCUCAUUGGAUUGACCACAGCAAUGACCUUCUCUUCUUGUUUCCUCUUAUCCCUCUUCGAUUUGAUAUUCUUCCUUAUAUGACUGUAAAUUUGGACAAAAAUAUGUGUUCCUAUAACAUUGCUUAUGCUCCCCCGCACUCCUUCAGCCAGUUGUUUCACGUCAUCUGUGGAGAUGAUGUAAACAUAAUCAUCAAAUAUAUUAAGGACUACAAAGUUUAAUCACUUGGAAUCCAAAACGAAAAUGAACAACAUUUGUAAAUGGUGGGAGAAUUACAUAUUAAUUGAGUAGUUAAAAGAAAACUAGCUUGAUUCAGGACUUUGCUCUGCUGCGAGUAUAAAAAUGAUCCACAAUUGCUGGCAAAGAUGUAAGAUUGUCAUGUUUGUCUAAAUACAAGAGAUGUAUCCCUAUCUUCUUUACUCUUAACUUUCUCAGCUUCGUCUAAUGGGUGGACUGUUAUCUGCUCCCCGCCUUUGAUCAUCCCGUCAUCUCUUAAGUAAGGUAUGUAAUAUAUCCAUGAUACUUCUUCGUAUUCUUGGGGUACAAUAAUAUUGCAAUGCGUUGACAUACAUACUCUCUCUAUAGGAUACAGUAACGACAAAGUGUCCAUAAGAGCAUAAACCCUUAAUGUGGCAAUUAACAAGCCAGACAACCAUUCCGAAAAACUUAUACUUGUCUUUAUUAUGUACUGUGGGCAUAGUGAAACAGACAGAUGGAGCUGUUACUUUAUAGCUGCACCAACCUGGAAUCUCAUUGCUUUCGAGAUUAAUUUGUAACCCAUGCUUCAUCAGACAAAGACACAAUUAUCUAGAUCAUUAAUUCAUUAAUAAUGUGAUACAAUUGAGAUUGAGAGAAAAGGAGAGAGUAUAACCUGAAGUGUACGUUUUACAAUUAGAGCAUGUGCACUAAAGAAGUCUUUAUUGAAUGGAUUCUGCAGACAAGUACAAUUAAGAAUGUUGAUAUGCAAUAUUGAAGGGAGUUUGUCCAACCCUGUUAUCUCGACCAACUUCUGGCAAUUCUCAAGUUCAAGAGUUUCGAGAUUCUCUAAAUUUGAUAACAAAGGGAGUCUUUGAAGAUACUCACAUAAUUCCUUCAACCAUCGUAACUUGGAAAAAUCAAAGGGCGGACCAUGAAAACUGUUGCCACUCAAAUCUAAAGAUACUCAGUGGCGGCUCUACAGCUUUGAAAAAAAAACAACUGCCUUAGGCACCAAAAUUUGAGGGGCCUCAUUUUUUAAAAAUACAAGAGGUUAUACAUAUUUUUUUUAAAAAAUAUCGCGUAUAAUUUGUAGAAAAUAUAAUUUUUUCAUAAAAGAGCAAGGAAGUAAUAGAAGUUUGACAAAUUAUGAGUACUAUGUCUCAAGAAAGAUUAAAUAAUUGGCUAUAAUAAACUUCAUAAAAAAUAUAUAUUCGAAUUUAAGGCCUCCAUUCGAAUUUUGCUUUAGGCCACCGAUUUAUUAGAGCCGCCCCUGAUUAGAUACUAAGGAGGUUAAACUCCCAAUAUCCACAUGAAAAGCAGCCUUGGAUAAACCAAAAUUUUUAAGGACUAAACACGAAAGAGAAGUCGAUAUGGAUUUUAUGACUAAUUCCUUGAUUAUUGGCCUGUAUAUAUGCAUUUCCAACUUCUAAAGUUUCAAGAUUUCUUAGCAUUUCAGCAGAUGUAGGCAAUUGUUUUAUAUCUGUAUCACUUGUUUUGUCAAUUGGCAGUGUUCGUACAGAAAAGCAUCUAGCAAUGUCUAAGAAUUUAAGGGAUUUUAGCUGGCAUAUUGAUUGAACGAUCUCCUUCAGCCUUGAGAAACCUUGAAGCUUUAAAGUCUCGAGAUUUGUUGCACCGUUGAAGUUUGGAGUUUUUUUGAGGGCCGAGCACCAAGAGAGAUUCAACUCCUUCAACCUUGGGCAACACUAAAUGUCAACCAAAUCCAACAUUCAAGUUAUAUAAGAUUAUUUUGUAUAAUUUCACUAGUCAAUGAAAAAUGUAGAAUUGGGCAACAAAUUAAACCUGGAAAUUCAAACCAAAUUCUUCGAUAGCACUCCCUUCCAUAUUAAGAACUACAAGAUUCGCAGCUGGAAAAUUUGGUGGAAUAUAUUUUAAAUGACAUCUUUGCCAAGAUAACCAUUUGAGCUCCUUGGGAAAAUGCCACAAAUCUCCAUGAAUACGUAAUCCAUUGAUUAUAAGCACCCUGAGUUUCUUCAUUUUCUUAAAUGCAUCGGUGCUCAACUCCACUCCCUCUAAUUCCCCUGGUUCAUCUAACCUCAUUACUUGUACAUUUCCGGAACCCUGUAGUUCAGAGAAAAUGUUUUAAUUAGGACUAAGAAUUGUAACACGACAUACAAUUAAAUUGAAAAGGAAAAAGAAUUUACUCAUGUUUUUUCCUCGUAAAACAGCACAGACUUGUUGAGGUAUGAAUAAUCUACUCCGUUCUCCAAGGCAUUGAGAUUCUGAGCGAACAAUUUCUCUUCCCAUAUCUCGCACUAGAUCAUGCAUACUUACACAACCCCCAAGUACCCCUUGGAGCAACUGUUUUUGGACUAAAGUUGCAAUUUCACAUUCAGUAUGAAAACCACAUGCAUUUAGUAUUUUGGUUUUCUUGAGAGUCUUUUGGAUAUCAUCACGAGGAAUUUCUUUUAGUCUCUUGAAUUUGCGUCUCCAGUUUUCUAUGGAUUCCCAUCGCAAAUGUGAACCCAAUGUCACAAGUGCUAAUGGUAGCCCACUGAAUAUUUGAUUAUGUCUUUCGCCACCCCAACAUAGUCUUGAGGUGGAGAAAGACUGUCAAAAGCAUGACGAUAAAAAAGUUGCUGAGAUUCAUUGUCAUUUAAUAGGUUGGUCAUAUAUCUUUUUGCAUUAAGCCAACUUAGCAAAAGCUCGUCUUGGGUUGUAAUAACUAUUAUACUACCCAAACCAAACCAUUCCUUUUCUUUUGUUAACGAUUCUAAUUGUUUUUUUUUUGUGUCCACAUCAUCAAGAACAAUUAGAACCUUCUUUGACCCCAGUUUUCUUUUGAUUAGAUUGAUUCCUUCAGCAACAGUGCGAACUUUGUACUCCUCGGUUUUGAACAGUAUAUUGAGAAGUUUCUCUUGUACCCUUUCUAGACCCUUUUUUUCUAGCAAUCUAACAUCAGAAAGGAAGCAACUACCAUCGAAGUGUACAUCUCUAAAUAAUCGAUUGUAGAUAUCUUUGGCCAGAGUUGUUUUCCCGAUUCCACCAACUCCAUAUAUACCAACCAUGUGAACUUCAUCUAUGUGUCCAUUUUGCAAUAACGACUUUAUAGGUUUAGUACGAGAAUCAACUCCAAUUGGGUAAGAAGCAACAUGUAGAGGUGUAUGGUUGACCUCUUUCUUCAUAUCUUGUAUAAUCAUUUCAAUAAAUUCAGCUUCAUGCCUACCAAUAUUUUUACCAAAAAACACUCACAUGAUGGGAGGUGUUACGCUUUAAAAUAGUUGCCUAUCUAUGGAUGGCAAUGGGGGCGGUGCGGGACGGGACGCGUUGAGCUUAAUGUAUAAAAAAUUUAAUUCGCUCUGCAUAACAAUUUUUUUCAUUUUCAACCUGCCCACAUGAAACUCCCCACAUAGUUUUUUUAAAUAUUUUUCUUUUCUAGUUAAGUUUGAUACUCAAAAUGAAAUUCAUAAAAAUAAAUUCUUUUUUUCAUUAAGUUGUAUUAAUUUAAUAGAAAAUGACCUAAAUUUUAUUUUUUAGAAGUCAAUUGGGAAACAUGUAAGAAAUUGUAUUAAUUUUUAUUGAAUCAUUUUCUUUUACCAUCUUGAAUAUUUUAGUAGCUUUAGAGAAAUUAUCUUAAUAAAUAAUGUUCUAUCACUCUUAUAACAUGUAAAAAGUUAAAAUUAAAUUGAAUCCACAUAAUGCCACAUAUUCCCGCAACCCAUCCCGUCCCACAUAGCCUUAAAUCCACUCCAACCCGCAUCCGCCCCGUCUCAUUGUUAUCUAUGGCUAUCAAACGACCCAAAAUUGUUAACCGAAACAAAAAGGAAGUUUCCUAAGAGGUACUUUCUCUUUUGGGUAAUAACCAUAGUUAAUAGUAUAAUUAAAAACAUUACAUUUCAUCCUUGUAGGAAAUUACUUAUGGGGUUCUUGAUAGGCAAUCUUACUGUGGAGGAAAGUUGAUAGAAAUUAAAUGGAAACAUUCAAAUUCUUUUUCUUUUUAAUUGAAUGGUUUCACAUUCUAAAUUUCUCUACCCACCAAAGGUCAAUUCUAAUAGUGGUUGCAUCUUGAAUUGGACCCUUUUUAUUUUUAAACAAAUUUCUUAGUACACAAAACAAAUAUAUUGCUUACGUAAAGCAAGGUAUCAUAAAUUCACGUUGAAACAUUGUAGUUGCCCUUUAAAAUUUUACAACUUAUGAUUUUCAUCUUUUUUAAAAAAAAAAAAAUGCAAGAAAUAUGUCAUGAUGUUCCACUAUGCCUUUAUAAAUCUCCAUUUAUCUUUGUUUUGUUUGUUUAAUCGAAAUUUAAUCUUCUUACUGUUACGAUUACCAGAUUUUACACACUACUUGCCUAUUCUUUCUUCUUCUAACCUUUUCUUUUCCUUUUUGAAUAUUUUCUUUUAAUAUUAGUAUUUCUUUUGAAUGGUCUAACCAGUAGUUGAACUUAGAAGCUUUCUUUGGUUAUGAAACCAAAUUAAUAUUAUUUACCUUAUAUAGAGGUAUUGCCACUAUAAGUAAUACAAGGAUUAACUAUUUUACGCAAAAUUUUAGUAAAUGUGCUUUUACAUAAAUUUCCAUUCAGUGUGACAUACACGAAGUAAAACCACAUGUUUCUUCUUUUUGCAUUCCAAAAAAAAGGAAGAAGAUUCUUCUCCAUUACUAAAAAUCAAUAAAUUACACAGUUCAAUCACUUACAAUGUUCCCUGGCAUUGUAUGUUAAUCAAAGAGACGCUAUAUUCACUAUACAAUGAAAAAGUUGAUUCAAAAUUUUAAACUAAGCUUAGUGCAACUCAACAUACUACCACUAUACAAUGGAAAAUUUGGUUACAUAAAUUAAACAAAAUUUUCUAUAGAAGCUACUGCCAUCGAAGAUCGAUGCUCAAUUGUUCAUACCUAAUAAUGGCUUUGUAGCCCUAUAAUAGUACGCAUUCUACUACAUCCAUCUUCCCAUCUUCAUUGACAUCAUUUUCCGUUCUUGUGUGCUUUAUGCUUUUCUGCAAUCCUCAGCUUCCUCUUGGCGUUUCUCAUUGGAUUGACCACAGCAAUGACCUUCUCUUCUUGUUUCCUCUUAUCCCUCUUCGAUUUGAUAUUCUUCCUUAUAUGACUGUAGAUUUGGACAAAAAUAUGUGUUCCUAUAACAUUGCUUAUGCUCCCCCGCACUCCUUCAGCCAGUUGUUUCACGUCGUCUGUGGAGAUGAUGCAAACAUAAUCAUCAAAUAUAAUAAGGACUACAAAGUUUAAUCACUCGGAAGCCAUAAAGGAAGUGAAGAAUAUUUGUAAAUGCAGCUAGCACUUGGCAUAUAAGAUAGUAUGGACAGACACUUGAAACAAUAAGUUAGCAAGAGAUUAAAUGAGAGACCAUACCUGAUAUAACUUUUCCGGCAAAUCCUUCACAAACUUUGUACAGGGGCAACAGCAUAUGAUAUGCAAAGCUUUGGCAAUCAACCUCACCUUCAGGGGACAACAAUCUACUCUGAUCUAUAAGCUUUGGUGAAACUGAUUUGAAACAAUUGAAGAUAAUUCUCAUCUGCAAAAAAUUGUGCACAUUCCACAGCAUGAGAACAGGCACUCCUAGCACCAUAUAUGGGAGAGUAAGGCACAAAAUAUUUUUUUUGGAAAACAACGAGAAGGUAAAUUACAUAGCAAUGACUAGGCUAAGAAAUUUUUUGCGAGUCGAGCAAACAGAGAUAUCCUUAAUUAAUCACCCACCUGCAUAUCCUCCACAUGAAGGGAAAUCUUUCCCAUUGUCUUAAGCAAAUAAGAAAUGACCAAGUAGCGCUGGCCUUCAUCUUCUUGAUCGCUAAGGUCAGACACAAGAGACAGAUAGAUGUUUUUCCCUUUCCUUGAAUCAAGCUGUUGAAAAGCCUUAAGUAGAAGACCCUGCUCGUCAUGUUCAAUGGUGGACCAGAACUCAUCUUUACAUUCAUUUUUUCCUAAGAAUGAAUGCAGAGAGC
rnacentral:lncRNA from 1 species